rnacentral:rRNA from 1 species
UACGGAGGGUGCGAGCGUUGUUCGGAAUUAUUGGGCGUAAAGGGCGCGUAGGCGGCGCCACAAGUCACCUGUGAAAACUCUGGGCUCAACCCAGAGCCUGCAGGCGAAACUGUGGUGCUGGAGUAUGGGAGAGGUGCGUGGAAUUCCCGGUGUAGCGGUGAAAUGCGUAGAUAUCGGAAGGAACAUCAGUGGCGAAAGCGGCUUCCUGGGCCAGCACCGACGCUCAGGCACGAAAGCGUGGGGAGCAAACAGG